AAAAAUCAAAAUUAAAAAAAAACAAAACACCAACCCUAGAACCUAAGCUAUGUAGCAUAGGACAUAGGAACGCCUCUGACUACUGGGGAGCCUGGACUAGGAAGGUCACGUGUGCCCUAAUGGGCUGAGCCAACUGAUGGGUUACAGGAAGCUAACAAACGGCAGAGGCACUUCCUUUGGAUUCUCUGCUGCCAGGUAGCAUGGCUUUCUAGAGUGUAGCUCUAAACUUGCCUCUAGAACUUACUUUUCAUUCAUAAUUGGCUCAGGUACUGUAGAAGGGUCUGGUCUUGAAAAUGGAGCCCUUCGGUAAAUUUAACCCAGAGGGAGUAAGGAAAUCAAAAGCACGUGGAAAGGUGGUCAGGGCCAAUAGAGAAGUAUGCAUAGUUAAGAAACAUCACAUUGAAUCCUGUAGUCCACUACUUCAUCAAAGCAACAACAAAAGACCUCAUCAUGCCCCCAGUUCACCUCCAUCCAUCCAUAUCUAAAGAGCUGCUCUUAACAGACCAACUGCAGAUAGCAGUUGGACAGACACCAGGCCGCAAGAGUUCAGUCUAGCCGCCCCUCCUCCAGCCACCACUCCAGUAACCAGCUGGGAAAGUGUUCAGAAAACCCGCAUCCUGACACAUCACUGCCAGACAACUUAAACAGCAAAGAACGAAACACAGAACGAAGUGCCACGAAGCUGGCUGCCAGGAAGUUUUGUAGGGACAAUGAGUAGAAGAAAAGCAGAUCCCUUUGGGGUGGGCCAAGGGCUUUGGUUCUUUGAAAUGCAGAAUCCACCCACCCCUGGGACUGCAGAGUGCAGAGGCUAGUUGUCUGCUUCCAUCCCCUCAAAGACAAAUGAGCGGGCGGGCUGGCCAGAAAGCCACUCAGGCAUCAUUCUUUAAAGAACCUUUGCAGGGUCAAAGAGGAACGGGUCUAUAGGUGAUGUGUAUCCCCUGCAGAUUCUGGGGAUAGUAUCAGAAUCACUUUCCAGAUGUGUUUAACACUUUGUGGUCACUUAUAUUCCUGCCACUGGCCAUCAGGGCCUUGCCCAUUUAAACUAAUGCCAGUUCUGGCUACCCCUAUUCCCCUGGAUCUAGUUACCCUUAGUUGAGACCAUCAUCUUUAUGCUUUCAGAGUCCUCAAAAAAGAGCUUCUCGCCUGCUCUUCCAAGAUAAGCAAGAGCGUCUGCCCAAGAAGUGACAAAAAGAGAAGGGGGUGCAAGUGGAGGUGGAGGGUGGGGAGGAGGGUGAGAAAGAAUAAUAACUAGGAAAGUUCUCCUGUUGAGAACUCACACUUAUUUCCAGAGCUGGUUAAUAUCUUUGUGCUUGUAUCUAAAUAAAGUGCCAGUUUUAAACUGCUACUGAAAAACAAAAUUAGAAAGCAGGCCUAAAUCUAACAGCAUAUCUUUAAAGAUAAAAAUAAGAAUUGGUGGAAAUUCCACUUUCUGGAUACUUACCCUACAGGUUUAAAAGUAGCCUCUGCCUACAAGGAUCAAGGUAGAACCUAAGUCAGAAUCUAGCACAAUCUCCACAACCAAAAACAUCAGGGUGCCUUGAGAUUGCUUCCCUAACUUUUCCAUAGAAAAUCUACAGAACCAAGAUGGGGGAACGGGGUCAUCUCCAAUCCAGUUGUUUGAGUUCAGCAAUUCAAGGUUUGUCCUGUUCAGAUCAAGAGGUCCUACAAAAGAUAGAGACUAGAGCUAAGAAGCACCCAAAGAGUAACCUCAUAAAACUUAGGAGGUAUAAAAAAGGAGAAGUCCACUGUCUCUCUGAAACUCAA